rnacentral:tRNA from 1 species
GGAUAGCUCAGUUGGUUAGAGCCUGGUGCUGAUGACGUCAAGGCUGCAGGUUCGAUCCCCAUGUGGGACA